rnacentral:sRNA from 1 species
UUAUAGUUAUGAUCUUUAACUUGAAGCCCAUCAUUUGAAAAUUGGCCUCGUAGUAGAUACCUAAAGCAACAGCUGUGUCCAAUUAUUGAUGUCUCCACAAGCCAGGGAAGCUUGAGUUUGAGUAUCUCCAAAGUCUCUAAAUGUACAGUGUUUCAGAAUCUGUCAGAAUCUAUUUGAGUGUUUGUGUGCACAGUAUAAGGUGAGCCUUCAGAACAAUCUGAACACCAUCUGGAAUUCCUCUCCUAACCUAGGACUGACUGCAUUGCACAGAUGAUGGAUAUUUACGUAUGUUUGAAACGACCAUCCUGGAUGGUGGACAAUAAAAGAAUGAGGACUGCUUCAAAUUUCCAGUGGCUGUUAUCAGCAUUUAUUCUUCUAUAUCUAAUGAAUCAAGUAAAUAGCCAGAAAAAGGGGGCUCCUCAUGAUUUGAAGUGUGUAACUAACAAUUUGCAAGUGUGGAACUGUUCUUGGAAAGCACCCUCUGGAACAGGCCGUGGUACUGAUUAUGAAGUUUGCAUUGAAAACAGGUAAUUUUAAUUUACUUUAAUUCACAAUGAGCUAGGUUGAAUUGCAGAAACGAC